GAGUGCUAUCAUACCAACAUUAAUGCACCAAAUCCGAUCAGAACACCGAAGUUAAACUUGUUUGGGCGAUAAUAGUACUAGGAUGGGUGAUCUUUUAGGAAGUCUUCAUGUUACAAUCC
rnacentral:rRNA from 1 species